AUUUCAUCGGGUCCACAGGCUUUAUUCACUUUCAUUCUCUUAAGUGCUUUUUUUACUUCUAAAGAUCUAAUAUGUAUGCAGCGGGAUAUGGUUAUUUGCUUUGUAAAGGAGGCUCAAGCAAAACAAUUUAGCAAUUCUAGAGUAUUCUAUUCACUCAAUAUAUGUAAUGCAUUCAAUAUGAGUUGGAUAGCGGGAAUACAACGAAUUUUGAUUUCAAAGUUUCAUUUUUGGUUAGGUAAUUUGAUGACUGUUAUGUGCUUGUGUGUGGAGACACUCUGUUUCUUCUUUCCGUUGAUAUGAUUGAUGUCUGUGGGAAAGAUUGUCUAAAUUUCCUAGGUUCUAAGAAAAUUUCACAUCCUUUUGUGCCGAUUAUGUUCUUUUUUGCUUUCGACAACAGUUUUGAAUGUACAUUUUGAUUAUAAUAUAUUCUAAACUUCCCUAUUUUUGUUUUGUUUGGUUUCCGUAGAGCUGGAUAUAUG
rnacentral:misc_RNA from 1 species